GCCUUCGUGGUGCAGUGGUCAGCACGCUCGACGUGUAUUCGAGAGGUCCAUGGUUCGAAUCCCGGCGAGGGCA
rnacentral:tRNA from 1 species